rnacentral:rRNA from 1 species
CAGGGGAGGGCUCGCUGUGUAGGUCGAGGUGGUAGUGAGGGGAGGGGAGGGAGGGCUGGAGCGGCGGCGGCGGCGCGGACGCUGGGCGGGAGCGGGAGGCGGUGGGGGGUGGUCGGCUCAGCCCGGAGAGGGGGAGGGGGUGUUGGGGCUCGAGGAGGGGCUUGUGCUCGAGCAGGAGACGGAGCCGCUGGGUUUCCAAUAGUUUUUUGGAAAGAGCCUUUACCUUAUGUCAAGUCUACUGCUAAGCCUAUAAUCGCUAAGACUCUAACUGCUCAUACCUCGGUUUUAAGUCCGGGCGGACGAAAGUCCUCUAAAUUUCAAGUCCUUACCACUAUCAAUGUCGACGGGUAAGACAUGACCGUCCUUCUUAUUUCUAAUGUUGUACGUUUCGGAAGAAGUCGUAAGGAGUCCUCAUCCACGUCGUGGAUUAGCUGGCCGUUUUCUAUUUCGUAGCGUGGCACGGGAACGGUUCGUAAACUUCUUACCGCAACGAUUUGGAAGACUGGGUGUCGUCCGUGUCGUUUAACGACAUCUCGGCGUCGUCGGCGUCGUUUAACGACAUCUCGGCGUCGGAGAAGGUUUGUCUGUACUCUUCAAACACACCGGGACCUACCCUCAAGAUCAAUUACAUGGAUGACUUACCUUCCUGCCCGCAGUUCAGCCUCUUUCACCUUUAGCAAACUUCCCCCUUAAUAGCGUUAAAACGGGUGACUUCCAAUAAGGUAAUACCUUAAAAGCUCCAGUAUGUCCCUUACGAUAACAACUCAAACGUUUUUUGACCUUACCAAAGUCUUUACGUGAACGCAAACUUUUCAUGAAACUCCGUCCUCCAACACCGUCUUCCCUGACCUUCGUUUUGUACUUAGUUCCCAGUUUCGAAACACCUACCCAGCGUUCCCGACUUCUAAUGUUAAAAGGCCCCGAUUAACCCCUGGUGAAUUCCUUUUUACGACUGAACUUUUGAUAGCUACUAGAACUCUUACUUCCUUGCGCAUUUUUAUUAUUUGAACAUCGAUUAAAUCGAUUGGUUUAACUCCAGUUCUUAUUCAUAAAUGUCCUCGAACUUGAAUCUAUGUUACUCUGUUGACACAGUGAACUCUUUUACUACCCCGUUUCCCUUGUUGCAGAGGUCCGUAUAUUACUUCUUUAAGCCUUCUACGUCGUCGAUCGAGCGUCUGUAAGACUUUUCUAGUAGCUACUCUUGGUUUUAGACGCAAGUCUUGACCUCAGCUUCUACUCACUUGAUUUACGUUCUAGGUUUCUCGAACUACUGGAACGACGUUUUUCAAGAGUACUGUUUUCAUUAGAACUCGUCCUCUUCGUCUUCUUACGAUAAUUUAGUUUGGUAGAAUUCAACCGUUGUCGCCUUGUUGUCUCUCGACUACUCCUACACCACUUCGAACACUCUCUAGUCUUCUCUCUCUUUCAACGACGAAAUUUGUUCUAGGACCUCAAUCUUGUCGUCAACCUUCGUUUUGUUUGCGAACUUAACCUUUAUGUCGUCGACUUCCCGUUUAACCUUCACUACUUCGUAUACGGUCCAGUACUUCUAAGUCAGAGCUUCCUAUUUUAGUUACUUGAAUCACUCCUCGACGUUCUAUUCUACCUACUUGACCUACGAUACCUCAGUGAAUUGGUUUGAGACCAAUAAUUUCUUUCGUUUUCGUUAUGACUCUACGUUCUUCGAGCCUUCCUCGACCUUUUACCGAACGAAUUAGAAGGUCCACCGGCUCGUGUAUAUCCCUAGUUCUCUUACCCGCUCGAACUAGACUUUCGUCAAAGUUUACAAGAGCCUGUCUUCAACAGCUUUCUCCUACGUCUUCAAUGACGACGGUAGGAAACAAGUUUCACCCUUCGGCUUUAUUUCUUAGGUCUUACCGUGGGAAAAUCCCGACAGUACCAACUACCUUUCCUUUACCUUUCUUAGUUACGACUGCUGCGUUUCGAAGCUCUUAAUUUUCUACUCGUACCGCUUCUUUAUAUAAGCAACCACUGGUUCCGCGACGCACUCAUGUUACAAUUGUCGUGGUCCAUAGGGCAUCCUCUCGACACCUUGAAGUCCCUUCUUGCCUUCCGCAGAGAGUUCCUUCGACAGGUCCACCAGGACUCUGUCACCGCUCGGUUGUCCUCCUUCGCAACUAACUCGGGUUAGUUACAGCGAAGAAAGGAGGACCGGACCUGUAGUCGUAAUAACAACAAACUAUUUAGAGAUCCCUGGUAGAUGGGGUACAACCUGUGUUUAGCUUAUUCUUUAUUAGGACAACAACGUCAUCAUCAUAGUAAUCACUUUCAGAGAUAGGUAGACACAUCUGUUCGAACUUAUUUCUGAACGUCAUCAUAGUCGUGGACGUUCGUGCGGUAGCUGGGCUAGUAGCCGCAGACAACCAUUCGCGGCGACAUACGAAACAACAGAAUUCAACGACUAUCAUUAAGUCUCCUCACAAACAAACAACAGACUUAAUUACUACUACCGUAGGACAUAUUCACAUCUACAUCCUUACGUGUAACAUACGUACUGCUCAUUCGAAUGAACACUCGUUCGAACAGACUUGACCCGGAUCUACGUAACUACGUCCUUCACACGAGUGCCAAGAUCCUUCCAGUU